rnacentral:tRNA from 1 species
GUGGUCAUAGCUCAGCUGGUUAGAGCAUCGGAUUGUGAUUCCGAAGGUCGUGGGUUCGAACCCCAUUGUCCACCC